rnacentral:rRNA from 1 species
CCUACGGGGGGCUGCAGUGGGGAAUAUUGGACAAUGGGGGGAACCCUGAUCCAGCCAUGCCGCGUGUGUGAAGAAGGCCCUCGGGUUGUAAAGCACUUUCAGUGAGGAAGAACGCCUGGUGGUUAAUACCCAUCAGGAAAGACAUCACUCACAGAAGAAGCACCGGCUAACUCCGUGCCAGCAGCCGCGGUAAUACGGAGGGUGCGAGCGUUAAUCGGAAUUACUGGGCGUAAAGCGCGCGUAGGUGGCUUGAUAAGCCGGUCGUGAAAGCCCCGGGCUCAACCUGGGAACGGCAUCCGGAACUGUCCAGCUAGAGUGCAGGAGAGGAAGGUAGAAUUCCCGGUGUAGCGGUGAAAUGCGUAGAGAUCGGGAGGAAUACCAGUGGCGAAGGCGGCCUUCUGGACUGACACUGACACUGAGGUGCGAAAGCGUGGGUAGCAAACAGGAUUAGAUAUCCUUGUAGUC